CUACGGCCAUAUCACGCUGAAAUCAGGUUCCCGUAUAAUCACAGAAGUUAAGCAACGUUGAGACUGAUCAGUACCUCGAUGAGUGACCGCUUGGGAUAUCAGAAGCUGUAA